rnacentral:sRNA from 1 species
UUGACAGCUGUGGAGUUGGAAUAAUUAUUCUUUUAUCCACAGAAAAUGUACAACAUGGGCAGCAGCCAUGUGCUUUGGAUCUGCCCUGGGGAGACACCUGCUAGGUGUUGGAGGGGAGCACAGAUUCCAAGACUCAUUCAGCUCUUGAUCUGAA